rnacentral:tRNA from 1 species
GGUUUUAUGGUGUAAUGGUUAGCACUCUGGACUUUGAAUCCAGCGAUCUGAGUUCAAAUCUCGGUAGGACCA